AGGAUCAACCAGAGCAACAAUGACGGUAUCGGACAGCGCAGUAUAUAGCAGCAUUUUAAUUAGGACUUACUGGCACAGAGGGUGGAGGUGGCCUCGUCAGAUCCGUCACCACAGUGAUUCACGCCGUCGCAAAGGAGAUCCGUCUCGAUGCAGAAUUCAUUCUGAGUGCACCGAAAAUCCUUGCAGGAAACAACGUCGCGCUCUACUGAUAAACCGCCGCUCAUCAGCCUGCGAUCAGCGAAGCAGUCACUUGGGACAAUGCGUCCGCUCGCGUCACGUCGAAUCGAUCCUGCGAUUUUCGAUCCGUUUCCCAGUGGAUCGCGCUGCACGUAAUGUCACCGCAAAAGUUUCGAAUUUCACGUGAAGUCGCGUGCGAAACGAGCCAGGACGAGAGGUCGAGGGAUGGAGAAAGGAAACGACGGGGUGCGAAGGUGGAAAAAGGAGAGAAUGCAGCGGAAGAAGAGGAGCGAAAAAAGGGUGAGAAGGAAGGAAGAUAGAGAGAGACGAACGACGUCAAGAGGGAAGGAGACCCUUUGGUCACGAUGGUGCGCGGCGGCCCUACAAUCCUCCGGCAACCACCCCUUCUCGUGUGCCACCAUCCAAUGCGACCCUCCCUCUUGUACUCUCGCUCUCCAACCCCUUUUUCCCUCCCUCUCUCUCUCUCUCUGUCUCUCUCUGUCUCUCUCUGUCUCUCUCUCUCUCGUUCCCUCUCUCUCUCUCGUUCCCUCUCUCCGUAGCUGUUUCUGUCUUUCUCUCUCUCCCUCCUGGCACGAUGUAAGCCCGCUCCGCGCGAUCAAUAUUACUCUCUUCGAGCGCACACCACGGCUCGUCUGAGCGCCAACCGAGCGCUAUCAUAUUAAGUUCCGAGCACUUUGCUCCGAGCACUUGGAGGAGCUCCGGCACAUCGCGAAAGUUUUCUCGCGCGAGGGAACGCCGAGAGCGUGCGAUAUUAUCUCUGUAUCUCUCCCCGGUGACACGGUGGUCUCUCGCGCAUUGCUGUUUUUACGGUACCGUCUGUUUUGCCUUUUAGGCACACGCGGACGGUACAUUUUUACGUAUGCCCGAUCAAUUCCGUGUCGCCGGGUGCAGCAACAUCGCUCAUCGUCGGAAAAACUGUGUGCAGUCUUGCCUUCCGCGAGAACGGCACUCCCGCGUUGCGGAUUAGCGUGAGCUUUUAGCUCGAACGCGCUCGCGAAUGGCAAUUUUCGCUGUCGAUUUACGAAUUUCGAGAAAAACGUUUUGUCGGAUGCAGCACUCUCACGUAUGCAGACCAUUUUCGAAGAUCGUGACAGGUUAAAAAAGUUAUUUUUCGAUAAAUUGAUGGAAGGAUCCAAAAAACACGCUUAGUUAUUGCAUCAAAGCGCAUGUUAAACCCACGCAUAAAUACCAACACGUGUAUCGUCCUCUUCGACGUCGCAUCAACGGAGACUGAAUGGCAUUGUGUUGGCCGCGUUCACCGUGGCGCAAAGUUACCCUGCAUUGUUCUUGCCAGUCUAAUAAAUCUAAGCCCGUCUUAUGGUGAGCGUUUCUCCGCGCUCUUGCUCGCGUUGGCGCCGAAGAAGCGUUGUGCGAUUGUACGCGUUUUGUUGCGAGAGUUUCCCUCGUCACGAUACGUUUCUCUCUCGAUCGAUUUUAUCCGGCUGGGAAAUAAAAGGCGACUCAAGAAACAAUGUUAUCGGCGCAGAUGCUCUUAAAAAGUUUACCUGGGCGCUGCGACCGAGCGUGCGUUCUUUCGCCCCUAUCGUGUCCCAAAGUCAUCGACCUGAUACGCCACACACACCGAAGGAAAAUUUGAUAAUAUCAACGUAAAUAUACACGCGGAUGCCCAAACUCGGUGUCGAAUUCGAAAUUUAUCCGCAAUCGGGAAUAGUCGUGCGUUCCGAUGUGUUUUACCAAUAUUUCAACGUCGUUUGCGAGGCGCAUUCAUCGCGAGCGUGAUCGUAAAUCCGCACGCGUCGUGGAUUGGUCCCCGUGCCGAUUCGAUCAAACAUUUUAUCGACUAUGAAAUGUUCAAAUCUCGGUCGUGAUGCGACGCUGGAAUUCGCUUCUAAUGAAAUCGCGGGGAACAGGAAGGCGAGGAUAGGUUGACGAUCGUAAAAAUUCUUCGUCGAGUGCCAUGAAAUUAUGCACCGGCACAAUAGCGCCCACUAAAAAGGGAAGCGAUAUUCGUGUUUUGAAUACGAGAGAGCUCGGGGUCGCAGUUCCGCCCGUAAAAAUUCGCGACCCAGUAGUCGUAGAAACGACACUUAAUCCACGUCAUCAAGUCCAAAGUAUCGACGUUUCGAAAAGUGCUCUCGACCCGCCAGACUUCGCGAGAUAUAAACUUGUACACGAAAAACCGCGGUGGCGUUUAAUUUAAGCGUGUCUUACUUGGAAACUUGGAAUUAGUGGAAAUGGUCUCUAAUUUCCUCAUACAACAGAAAUUCCUUAAUAAUGAAAACUAAAACAGCAAAUUUCCUGCAUUCCAAAAA